rnacentral:rRNA from 1 species
AUGUCUACAAUGAAGGGACAGACAAGGAGGGAGAGGCCUAGGACUCGCCCCCAUGGCCUCACGCAACAGAAGAGGCAGGAAAUAAAGGAAGCAUUUGAUCUUUUCGACACCGAUAACUCUGGAACCAUCGAUGCCAAAGAGUUGAAUGUUGCGAUGAGAGCCUUGGGAUUUGAGAUGACAGAGGAGCAAAUCAAUCAGAUGAUUGCUGAUGUUGACAAAGAUGGCAGUGGAUCGAUAGAUUAUGAGGAGUUUGAGCACAUGAUGACUGCCAAGAUUGGGGAGAGGGACACUAAAGAAGAGCUUACAAAAGCGUUCCGCAUUAUUGACCAAGAUAAAAAUGGGAAGAUUUCAGAUGUUGAUAUUCAGCGCAUUGCCAAAGAGUUGGGUGAAAACUUCACUCUCCAAGAGAUCCAAGAAAUGGUUCAAGAGGCAGAUCAAAAUGGUGACGGCGAGAUAGAUUUUGGCGAGUUUGCGAGGAUGAUGAAGAAGACCAGCUAUGGCUACUAG